rnacentral:rRNA from 1 species
UGGGGAAUCUUGCACAAUGGGCGAAAGCCUGAUGCAGCCAUGCUGCGUGAAUGAUGAAGGCCCUAGGGUUGUAAAAUUCUUUCAACGGUGACGAUAAUGACGGUAGCCGUAGAAGAAGCCCCGGCUAACUUCGUGCCAGCAGCCGCGGUAAUACGAAGGGGGCUAGCGUUGUUCGGAAUUACUGGGCGUAAAGCGCGCGUAGGCGGAUUCUUAAGCCAGAUGUGAAAUCCCGGGGCUCAACCUCGGAACUGCAUUUGGAACUGGGAAUCUAGAGUUCAGGAGAGGUUCGUGGAAUGCCGAGUGUAGAGGUGAAAUUCGCAGAUAUUCGGUGGAACACCAGUGGCGAAGGCGGCUCACUGGCUCGAACCUGACGCUGAGGUGCGAAAGUGUGGGGAGCAAACAGGAUUAGAUACCCCCGUAGUCC